GAAAAGCGCCACAUUUUUUCUUCAAUAUACUGUACAACAGAUUCGCAAUUUAGACGUUGUCGUAGUAAUGCCGCGAUCGUAAGCAGCUCUUAUUCAAGGUAGAUGAUAGGUGCCACCGUAUCUACGCCAAGGUUUUUUUUUCUCGAUGUAUUCGGAUUGUACCGCUGGAUGUUUGUGGAUCAGAUACCAUCAAAGUUUUCUUCACCAUGACAUAUUUGGAAUUUAUAUGCCAAUACGUGUAAUCCAUCAAGGACACUGAAUUUCACAACACCUGAAUGGGAUUCGAACCCAAUGUAUAGAGAAUUCCAGUCCACCGCUCUACCAUUGAGCUAUGAGACAUAUUAUUGAGAAAUCUAAGUCUUCAACACAUUAAGGUAACUGUGCAAAGUUGUACAUAGGGGAUCAAAUAUCAAUGGGGGGGAUAUAGGGGGGGUUGCCAGGAAGGUAUCGCAUCCGCCUAGCAGCUCCAAGGUCCGUGGUUCGAUUCCACGGAGGUUCCCGAUGUCCUGGGCUUCCAAUCUUCCACGUCUGCCAGUCGUGUCGAGAAACUUCCCCAUCACGAAGUAAUGGGACGGAUAUUUUGGCAAUGUUUAAUAUAAUAUCCAAUAAAAAAUCUUAAUAAAUUGUUCAUUAUGAUU